AACGAACGCUGGCGGCAGGCCUAACACAUGCAAGUCGAACGCCACCCAAGCUGAGUGGCGCCCGGGUGGGUAACACGUGGGCAUGUGCCCCUUGGUUCGGAAUAACGUCUGGAAACGGACGCUAAUACCGGAGCUCCCCUGCGGGUGAAAGAUUUAUCGCCAAAGGAGCAGCCCGCGUCUGAGUAGGUAGUUGGUGGGGUAAAGGCCGACCAAGCCGACGAUCAGUAGCUGGUCUGAGAGGAUGAUCAGCCACACUGGGAGUGAGACACGGCCCAGAAUCGUAGGGGAGGCAGCAGGGGGGAAGAUUGGACAAUGGGCGCAAGCCUGAUCCAGCCAUGCCGCGUGAGUGAUGAAGGCCUUCGGGUUGUAAAGCUCUUUCGCACACGACGAUGAUGACGGUAGUGUGGGAAGAAGCCCCGGCUAACUUCGUGCCAGCCGCCGCUGUAAAAC
rnacentral:rRNA from 1 species